rnacentral:lncRNA from 1 species
UCGGACAUUAACCUAGUGUCAUUGGACCUAGGUCGAGUAUGUAAACCUAGAGUUGAGAUCUAGGAGAAAGUAUAUAAAACCUAGUGUAAGUGAACCUAGGUUAUGAUGUAAAGAACCACUUAGUAAAAGUAAACUAAGUUGUGAAUCAUAGUGGCAAUAGGACCACUAGAAAGUGAAUAGAAUAGACCUAGAAAGGUCGUCAACAUAGGGUCAGUGAGUAAACCUUUAAGUUGUGAAAUGGAUUCCGGAAUCCUUAGGAAUGGGGUGAUGGCAGAAAUAGAAUCUUAACUACGGGAUUGACGGUUCUCCUCUCCCGGUAGUGAUUCAACGGGAUNCAGCAGCAGCCAGCAGCUCAGCAGCAGCUGCUGCUGGAGCAGCAGCCAGCACCACCAGCAGCACCAGCAGCUGCUGGAGUAGCACCAGCAGCAAGCAGCAGUAGUAGCACCAGCAGCAAGCAGCAGUAGUAGCAACUGCAGCAGCAGCUAGAAGCAGCAGUAGUAGCUGCUGGAGUGCAGCAGCAGCAAGCAGCAGCAGCUUGUGCUGCUUAACAGCAGCUAGCAGCAGCAGCUUGGCUCAGCAGUGAGCAGCAGCAGAAGCAGCAGCUUGCGCACCAGCUGCUGUCAGCAGCCUGCGCAGGCCAAGCAGGAGCAGCAGCAACUUCAGCAGCUUAGCAGCAGCAGUAACAGCUACCUGCAGGCUGCAGGGAGGAAAAGAAAAGAAAGAAAGAAAGAAAAGAAAAGAAAAGAAAGAAAGAAUAAAAAGAAUGAAAGAAAAAAUGGAAUCGAAGUAUUUGCACAGUUUUCCGUAAUUGUUCUGAGGUUCUUAGGCUAAUAAGAAUUGAAUUACGCUAUGUAAUUAUGAAAAUUGCAUUGAAAAGGGGUUUUUAUAGAAACUGACCUUGAUAAUGCACUUUUGCAGGAUAGAAGUCCUAAAGCGAAAUUGACCGCGUACAAACCUAAUUGGGGGUAAAAGAAACGCGCUGGCGAAGUCGGUUCGGCAAUCCGUCGCUCCUACGCGAAGAUAUCGCCAAAAGAAGAUUUUCGGCGUCGAUAGUCGCGAGCGCGGGUCGCGGUUCUCGGGAAAGCGCUAGAAGCGCAUUUCUCCCUUUCCGGCAUCAAAGAAAGGUGGGUUGUGCUUACCGAAGUGAUUAGGUCACUUCCAUGCCAAAGUAGAUCAUGUUUUCAUUUGACGCAUAUAUGAGGAUAAAUGUCGACAUAUGAACAUUCAUGCUAAAUGAAUAUGAAUAUGAGUAUGAAUAUGAAUAUGAAUAUGAAUAUGAAUAUGAAUACUAUAUGGAUGCUGGAUGCAUAGAUCUGAAUGCAUAGAUACGAAUAUGAAUGCUAAAUGCGUGUGAAUAUGAAUGUAAAUGCUAUGUGAAUGCUAUACGAAUGCUAUAUGAAUGCUAAUGCUAAAUUCAUAUGAUCAAAGAUAAGUUAUGCUAAUGCUACGUUCAUGUGAUAUAUAAUUGUUGAACCUGUAAAUGCCAAGGGCAUCUAAGUUAAAUAUGAAAUGUGAAUAUAUAUAUGCUAAAGCCUACAUACUAUAUGAAUGUCACUAUAUGCUAAAUGCUAAAGCCUAUAUAGAUGCCAAGGACAUAUAAGUUGAAUGUGAAAUGUGAAUAUAGAUGCUAUAUGAACGUCGCUAAUUCUAGUUGAUUCGAAUGGUAUGUAAACUAUGAACUUCAUGUGAAAUCCCUAAGAAUCGGGUAUAAAUCGACAACUCCAAUUGAGUAGAAAUCUGGACACUGGACAGUAACAAAGUAAAUGAAAUUGUGCAAAUUAUGAUCCUAGAUAUGAAUAACUAGGAUAAUGAAUAGAUCGAAUGGCAUGAAAUAAACCUAGUGUUAUUGAACAUAGGUAGGACAUAAACCUAGUGUCAUUGGACCUAGGUCGAGUGUGUAAACCUAGAGUUGAGAUCUAGGAGAAAGUAUAUAAAACCUAGUGUAAGUGAACCUAGGUUAUGAUGUAAAGAACCACUUAGUAAAAGUAAACUAAGUUGUGAAUCAUAGUGGCAGUAGGACCACUAGAAAGUGAAUAGAAUAGACCUAGAAAGGUCGUCGACAUAGGGUAAAAGAGUAAACCCUUUAGUUGUGAAAAUGGAUUCCGGAAUCCCUAGGAAUGGUGUGAUGGCAGAAAUAGAAUCUUAACUACGGGAUUGACGGUUCUCCUCUCCCGGUAGUGAUUCAACGGGAUCGACGGUUCUCCUCUCCCGGUAUGCCAUGAAACAAGUGAAGUGAAUCGAAACUACGGGAUUGACGGUUCUCCUCUCCCGGUAGUGAUUCAACGGGAUUGACGGUUCUCCUCUCCCGGUUGAGCUAACGGGUUUGACGGUUCUCCUCGCCCGUUGAGCUUGAGCGACUUAGGGUCACGGGGAUCGACGGUUCUCCUCUCCCUGUGAUGGACCUAGUGUCGCGUGGACUUAAGGCUGAGGUGUUGUGAGACGUCCUUCACCUCGAGCCUGACUUGACGCGGUACUCCGCGGUUGAUUGACUCAAGACCGAGUCGAGUGGCUAGAUGGCUAAGGUAAAGUAACCUUAGGAAAGAAUCGCCAGUGAGUACAGUAAGAAUAAAGAAUAAAGCAUAAAGAAAAGAAUAAAGAAAAUAGCUAAUGAAUGAAACUAGCUAAGAAAGAAUAAAACGGCUACAAGUAAAGAAUGGCUAAUGAUAUAAAGUAGAAUCAAGUAAUCUACUUACAUGAUUUACAGGUAUUGCAUAGUGCAUAGCAGCGAGGCAAGGUAUGGUUCUAUUUGUUGCAUCGUUAAAUAUCUAUCUAUCUAUUUGUUGAACUAACCUACUGUUGCCUCCUUUGGACCUGGUGGGUCGAGCUCUUCUCUUGGGUGGCCGUACCCACUGGGAACUAUAUUUAUAUAGUUCUCACCCCCG